UUGACAACAAGCACCAGGGUCAGUGCAUGGCCUUUAUCAUUCAAAAGCCUAACACCACCACCCCCUAAGCCAUUGAUCUGACAUUGGGGUCUUUCUUGGAUGUCCUAGUUUUUGUUGUCUUCAUCCCCUCAAUAAAUGGGUGUUGAAACUUGCAAGUGGAAAUACCAAAUAAUUAAAUAAGCUAUAUACUAGCACAUGGUUUUGGGCUUUCUUUUCUAGGACAGUGAGUGGUAAUGCCCAUGGUUUUCUAAAUCAGAGGUGAUUCUGUAUGAACGAUUCCAUUUGCGUACUUUUU
rnacentral:misc_RNA from 1 species